rnacentral:lncRNA from 1 species
GCGGGACUAUACCUUCUCAGUGUAAUUAUAAAAUAAAUCAAUGUUGAAAUGUUUUCUAAUCGGGGUGAGAUAUAUAGAAACCAAUUAACUAAAUCAAUCUUAUUCUUAUUCGUGGUAUGGUCUCUCAUAGUAAAAAGCAAUCCGGAUCAAUAUAGUAUCCGCCUUUUAGAAUCGUUUUCUUAUUAUGCUCGAAAUGUUACUACUCAAAUCAAUGCUAAAGCUAAAAAUGUCAUGUACUGAAUUAGUUACAUUAAAAUUAAAGAAUAAAAGAAGUACCUUUUUAUUGAUGAAUUUAGAUAAGGCAUACUGCCACUUCUCUGACUGACAUACAUAAAAAUGGUCCUGCUGAUGAAUGAAAUAAUCCUAGAUAACAAAUUUUCAGUUUCUGUUUCCGAUGCGUAGCUAUUUUGACCUCACAGGUGGCUAAAGCCGUUUUCUUUACCCAAUUAUAACACCUCUUUUAACGCCUUUACUUCUCAGGCAUCAUAAACCUUACAAUAAAUGUCAAUAUGAACAAAUAUAAUUAAAAUUAAAAAUCAAUUGUUCAGAGAAC